rnacentral:lncRNA from 1 species
CUGGUACUUGUCUUCUAAGAACAGUAAUAGGAGCAAAAUUUGCUACCUGUUGAAGCAAUUUUCCUGUUUUGAUAGAUUAGUCCUGAAGAAUGCUGUUCCUUCUUUUAAAUAGAAGAAAGUAAAGGAUGAUGCUGCCAUACCAGAUCAAGCUAGAGACAGAGGAAUCAGGAAUAUGCAGGGAAUUCAGAGAUGCUGCUUGGAAUUAUUUCCUGGGUUGCACAGGGAAGGAGAUGUCUCUAGGUGUUUUUCUGUGGAAAGUCCACCCAGAUUUUCUUCUUAUGGAAUGAAAAGAUGUGCAUCACCAAUGAAAGGAUAUUUUAAAGUGGUUCCACACUUUUUCCAUCAUGUGCAGGCAAUAAAAGUUAUUAGGAGGACACUUGCUAGCUCUGUAUUGUCAGAGUGACCACAGACCAACCUUCAGCAUCCCAGAUGGAAUUAGACUAGUGGAUGAUCAAAAGUGUGGCUUAUGACCAGAAUCAAAUAAAUCUGAAGCAUCUUCAUAAGUGCUGUAGAGU